rnacentral:lncRNA from 1 species
UCAUCCUGUCCUCACAGUGGCUGGUGUGGAGACCGACAGACUUCAUCCUUAGGAUGGACCUUCAGGCACCCAGGCCACCUACUGACCUCUCUGGCAUGGGUGGGAACCGGGAGCUCGUUGGUAAGCAGGAGGCUUCAGGACUACUGAGCGAACACCGCUUCCUCUGUGGCACGCACCGUGCUUUGUCUUUUGGGUCAUCAUCUCAUCACCUCUGCACAGGAAGAUUAUCUCCCCCACUUUGUGAUGAGGAAACGGAGGCUCCAGGAGGAAAGAUGCAACCUGGGCCAGAGGCCCCUGGAGGCUGUGCCUGACCCCAGACAGAUCAGACAAACCCGAGCAGCCAUUAGCAGCUGCAUGGACUCCUUUGCAUUGUGGGGCUGCUCCUGGGGAUAUUUGUGUUGUGAAUGGGUAGAAUCUGAAUGGCAGAAUAUGAAUUUCCAGAUGUUCUUCUUAGAAGAUGCAGUCUGCCACAGGUCCCUUCCUCUCUCCAGCUGUCUGGAAUGGAGCCACCAUGUCUGGUGCUCAAGCGGCCAGCUCUGACCCAGAGGUAACACAUUAUGGAUUGUGGAGCCGCAGGAUGGAGUAGCCUGGGUCUGAUGGUUCUGUUAGUCAAGGCUAUCCAAAGAAGCAGGACCAAUAGGAAAUACAUAUGUUUAUGUAUGUA